UACGAAGGGGGCUAGCGUUGUUCGGAAUCACUGGGCGUAAAGCGCACGUAGGCGGAUGUGCCAGUCAGGGGUGAAAUCCCGGAAGCUCAACUUCGGAACUGCCUCUGAUACAGCACGUCUUGAGUCCGGAAGAGGUGGGUGGAAUUCCUAGUGUAGAGGUGAAAUUCGUAGAUAUUAGGAAGAACACCGGUGGCGAAGGCGGCCCACUGGUCCGGUACUGACGCUGAGGUGCGAAAGCGUGGGGAGCAAACAGG
rnacentral:rRNA from 1 species